GUGUCAGCAGCCGCGGUAAGACGUAGGGGGCGAGCGUUGUCCGGAUUCAUUGGGCGUAAAGCGCGCGCAGGCGGCUUGGUUAGUCGGAUGUGAAAAUCCGGGGCUCAACCCCGGACCUGCAUCCGAUACUGCCAGGCUAGAGGCAGGUAGGGGAGAUCGGAAUUCCUGGUGUAGCGGUGAAAUGCGCAGAUAUCAGGAGGAACACCGGUGGCGAAGGCGGAUCUCUGGGCCUGUCCUGACGCUCAGGCGCGAAAGCUAGGGGAGCAAACAGGAUUAGAAACCCUGGUAGUCC
rnacentral:rRNA from 1 species